rnacentral:rRNA from 1 species
GACAGAGGAUGCAAACGUUGUACGGAAUCACUGGGCAUAAAGCGCACGUAGGCGGUCUGUUAAGUCAGGUGUGAAAGCCCCCGGCUCAACCGGGGAAUUGCAUUUGAUACUGGCAGGCUAGAGAACGGUAGGGGUGAGUGGAACUCCAGGUGGAGCGGUGAAAUGCGUAGAUAUCUGGAGGAACACCGGUGGCGAAAGCGGCUCACUGGACCGUCACUGACGCUGAGGUGCGAAAGCUAGGGUAGCAAACAGG